CAGUUGGAAAUAAGCUUAUAACGGUCGAAGCUCGGCGGUCUAAAGGCACUUGUAGAAAAGAGAAAGAAAGAGGAUAUUUCGCGCAACAAUUCAAUCCUUAAAAAUGAAUUUUAGGCACGGCAAGGAAUACAACAAAUAUAAUAAAGGAAGCCAUGAUUGGUCAAAAUAUCGAAAAUCAUUUAAAGAAAUAAAAGAAAC